rnacentral:rRNA from 1 species
GUAGAGUCGGUUGUCGCUGGUCCCUUCGGGGGCAUGUGCACGCCUUCUCUUUCAUCCACACACACCUGUGCACUCGUGAGACGGAAGCCCUCGGGCGUCCGUCUGCUCUACAUAAACUCAUAUCUAUAAUUCGAAUGUAAUUGAUGUAACACAUCUUUAAACUAAGUUUCAACAACGGAUCUCUUGGCUCUCGCAUCGAUGAAGAACGCAGCGAAAUGCGAUAAGUAAUGUGAAUUGCAGAAUUCAGUGAAUCAUCGAAUCUUUGAACGCACCUUGCGCUCCUUGGUAUUCCUUGGAGCAUGCCUGUUUGAGUAUCAUGAAAUUAUCAAAAUAAUUCUUUUGUUCAUUCGAUUGAAUUUAUUUUGGACUUGGAGGUCUGCAGAUUCACGUCUGCUCCUCUUAAAUAAAUUAGCUGGAUCUCAGUGAGCUCGGUUCCACUCGGCGUGAUAAGUAUCACUCGCUGAGGACACUGUAAAAGGUGGCCGGGAUUGCGGAUGAACCGCUUCUAAUCGUCUAUUCACUUAGACAACAAUACUUUAUGAUCUGAUCUCAAAUCAGGUAGGACUACCCGCUGAACUUAAGCAUAUCAAUAAGCGGAGGAAAAGAAACUAACAAGGAUUCCCCUAGUAACGGCGAGUGAAGCGGGAAGAGCUCAAAUUUAAAAUCUGGCGGUGUAUUCCGUCCGAGUUGUAGUCUAGAGAAGCAUCAUCCGUGCCGGACCAUGUACAAGUCUCUUGGAACAGAGCGUCAUAGAGGGUGAGAAUCCCGUCCUUGACAUGGACUCCCGGUGCUUUGUGUUGAGCUCUCAACGAGUCGAGUUGUUUGGGAAUGCAGCUCAAAAUGGGUGGUAAAUUCCAUCUAAAGCUAAAUAUUGGCGAGAGACCGAUAGCGAACAAGUACCGUGAGGGGAAAGAUGAAAAGCACUUUGGAGAGAGAGUUAAACAGUACGUGAAAUU